AGUGAACGCUGGCGGUAGGCCUAACACAUGCAAGUCGAACGGCAGCACAGUAAGAGCUUGCUCUUACGGGUGGCGAGUGGCGGACGGGUGAGGAAUACAUCGGAAUCUACUUUUUCGUGGGGGAUAACGUAGGGAAACUUACGCUAAUACCGCAUACGACCUACGGGUGAAAGCAGGGGAUCUUCGGACCUUGCGCGAUUGAAUGAGCCGAUGUCGGAUUGGCUAGUUGGCGGGGUAAAGGCCCACCAAGGCGACGAUCCGUAGCUGGUCUGAGAGGAUGAUCAGCCACACUGGAACUGAGACACGGUCCAGACCCCUACGGGAGGCAGCAGUGGGGAAUAUUGGACAAUGGGCGCAAGCCUGAUCCAGCCAUACCGCGUGGGUGAAGAAGGCCUUCGGGUUGUAAAGCCCUUUUGUUGGGAAAGAAAAGCAGCAGGUUAAUACCCCGCUGUUCUGACGGUACCAAAAGAAUAAGCACCGGCUAACUUCGUG
rnacentral:rRNA from 1 species